UACGUAGGUGGCAAGCGUUGUCCGGAUUUACUGGGCGUAAAGAGCGCGCAGGCGGUCGUUCAAGUCGCGUGUGAAAGCCCCCGGCUCAACUGGGGAGGGUCACGCGAUACUGAUCGACUCGAAGGCAGGAGAGGGAAGUGGAAUUCCCGGUGUAGUGGUGAAAUGCGUAGAGAUGUGGAGGAACACCGAUGGCGAAGGCAGCCCCCUGGGCCAACACUGACGCUCAGGCACGAAAGCGUGGGGAGCAAACAGG
rnacentral:rRNA from 1 species